rnacentral:rRNA from 1 species
UGGGGAAUAUUGCACAAUGGGCGAAAGCCUGAUGCAGCGACGCCGCGUGAGGGAUGACGGCCUUCGGGUUGUAAACCUCUUUCAGCAGGGAAGAAGCGAAAGUGACGGUACCUGCAGAAGAAGCGCCGGCUAACUACGUGCCAGCAGCCGCGGUAAUACGUAGGGCGCAAGCGUUGUCCGGAAUUAUUGGGCGUAAAGAGCUCGUAGGCGGUUAGUCGCGUCUGCUGUGAAAACUCGAGGCUCAACCUCGGGCUUGCAGUGGGUACGGGCUGACUAGAGUGCGGUAGGGGUGACUGGAAUUCCUGGUGUAGCGGUGGAAUGCGCAGAUAUCAGGAGGAACACCGAUGGCGAAGGCAGGUCACUGGGCCGCAACUGACGCUGAGGAGCGAAAGCAUGGGGAGCGAGCAGGAUUAGAUAGCCCUGGUAGUCCACGCCCUAAACGAUGUCAACUAGUUGUUGGGAUUCAUUUUCCUUAGUAACGUAGCUAA